rnacentral:rRNA from 1 species
AGCGGCGGACGGGUGAGUAACGCGUGGGUAACCUGCCCUGUACACACGGAUAACAUACCGAAAGGUAUGCUAAUACGAGAUAAUACGCUUUUAUCGCAUGGUAGAAGUAUCAAAGCUCCGGCGGUACAGGAUGGACCCGCGUCUGAUUAGCUAGUUGGUAAGGUAACGGCUUACCAAGGCGACGAUCAGUAGCCGACCUGAGAGGGUGAUCGGCCACAUUGGAACUGAGACACGGUCCAAACUCCUACGGGAGGCAGCAGUGGGGAAUAUUGCACAAUGGGCGAAAGCCUGAUGCAGCAACGCCGCGUGAGCGAUGAAGGCCUUCGGGUCGUAAAGCUCUGUCCUCAAGGAAGAUAAUGACGGUACUUGAGGAGGAAGCCCCGGCUAACUACGUGCCAGCAGCCGCGGUAAUACGUAGGGGGCUAGCGUUAUCCGGAAUUACUGGGCGUAAAGGGUGCGUAGGUGGUUUCUUAAGUCAGAGGUGAAAGGCUACGGCUCAACCGUAGUAAGCCUUUGAAACUGGGAAACUUGAGUGCAGGAGAGGAGAGUGGAAUUCCUAGUGUAGCGGUGAAAUGCGUAGAUAUUAGGAGGAACACCAGUUGCGAAGGCGGCUCUCUGGACUGUAACUGACACUGAGGCACGAAAGCGUGGGGAGCAAACAGGAUUAGAUACCCUGGUAGUCCACGCCGUAAACGAUGAGUACUAGCUGU